AUGCCUGGGAGGAAGGGAAUGCAUGAGCAUCUGGUCGGCCAAAAGCAUGGAGUGUGGAAUGAUGUCUUAACUUUACUCUCAGUUGGUUUAGGUAUGAAAGUCUCUCAUUCCCCAACAUAUCCAUGGAUGCAUUCAUCCAUCAUCCAUCCAUCGAUCCAUCGAUCCAUCGACCCAUCUAUCCAUCAUCCAUCCAUCCAUCAUCCAUCCAUCAAUCCAUCGACCCAUCCAUCCAUCAUCCAUCCAUCCAUCCAUCCAUCAUCCAUCCAUCAUCCAUCCAUCGAUCCAUCGACGCAUCCAUCCAUCAUCCAUCCAUCCAUCCAUCCAUCAUCCAUCCAUCCAUCAUCCAUCCAUCCAUCCAUCCAUCAUCCAUCCAUCCAUCUAUCCAUCCAUCAUCCAUCCAUCCAUCAUCCAUCCAUCCAUCCAUCCAUCAUUUGCAUGUUUAGUUUGAUUUAUUGAGACUUUACAAAAUGCGCUAUUUUAUCAUUUGCAGUGAAAGCUAGAAAAAGGACUAACACAUACCUCACUUCUCAACUGGGCAAAACACCACCCCCCCACCCCUCCUCAAGGGUGGGGUGAGGAGCAUCUGGAAACGUCUGGAGACAUUUGGUUGUCAUGACUGAGGAAAUACUACCGGCAUCUGGUGGGUGGAGGCCAUGGAUGCUGCUAACAACCCUUCAAUGUGCGGGACGGCCCCCACAACAAAGAAUUGUCUGGUGGAAAAUGCAGAGGUUGAGAAACCCUGAUAUGGAUUCUUAACAACUCUUAGAAUUGGACAGAGUCCUAUGUUUAAUCUCAAAGAUCACCCUAAAUCUCUCCAGAAACAGAUAAUAUAGAGUCAGGAAUCCUCCUUACCUGGAAGCUAUGAAACUCUGGUUAUUAUAGUUUCUCCUCACAGCACCUCCGAGAGACAGAGGACAUUCCUGUUUUACUGAUGAGCGACUCCGGCUAGAAGAGGUUAAGUAACUGUCAGAAAAAGUGUUCGCUUUUCCUCUUUCAUGAAGUAUAGCAAAGAGGUUAUUGAGUUUUUACUGAAAGGCUUACUCUGGGCUGUUGGGUGUCAGCACCAGCAUUUUUGGAGGAAAUUCAAGUCCUCUCUCUAUAGAGCUGUCAAGCAAUGACUCGUCCUUAAAGGUGGGCCAAAAGUUCCCCUAUAGUUUUUCAAUUAUGUGAGAACAACAGCUAAGGAGUUAUUGAUCUCCAGGGUACGUGCUGGCACAGGGAG
rnacentral:lncRNA from 1 species